UACGUAGGGUGCGAGCGUUGUUCGGAAUUACUGGGCGUAAAGGGCUCGUAGGCGGCCAACUAAGUCAGACGUGAAAUCCCUCGGCUUAACCGGGGAACUGCGUCUGAUACUGGAUGGCUUGAGUUUGGGAGAGGGAUGCGGAAUUCCAGGUGUAGCGGUGAAAUGCGUAGAUAUCUGGAGGAACACCGGUGGCGAAGGCGACCUUCUGGGCCGUUUCUGACGCUGAGGUACGAAAGCGUGGGGAGCAAACAGG
rnacentral:rRNA from 1 species